UUGGUGCGGCCCGCGAGCUUCACAUGAAUGGCGCUUUGCAGCAUCAUACUUGUAAAACCUCGAUUUUUCCAAGAGACUCCCAAUUUUCAGUGCCCCUGCCGGGAUAAUAAUCCUCCUGAUUUUCACCCUAAUAACAAUAUUAAGGGGGCAGUGUGGAGUCACUGCCUUUAACGUCCUCUACAACCUGUACAAACAACAUGGCAGCCCAGCCCCAUGUUGUAUUUGGCUCCAGUAGACGCAGUGAGAGACUGCAAGACAUGCAAUCCAAUGCAGCCCUAACUCGUCCGGGCUACAAUAGGGGGCGGGGGUGAAUAUUGUAGCCCGGAAGAGUUAGGGCUGCAUGGGAUUCUGGGUAUUUGUUAUGUUGUGUUUAUUUUGUGUUACGGUGCGGAUGUUCUGCCAAAAUGUGUUUGUCAAUCUUGUUUGGUGUGGGUUCACAGUGUGGCGCAUAUUUGUAACAGUGUUAAAGUUGUUUAUACGGCCACCCUCAGUGUGACCUGUGUGGCUGUUGAUCAAGUAUGUCUUGCAGUCACUUCCGUCGAACUGCAAAAGUCUCAUACAAUAUGGUGGAGAAACGGACGAGAAGGCAGGUUGUAAAGGACGGUAAAGGCAGUGCCAUCACGGCACACCUUUAAUAUUGUUGUCCGGGUGAAAAUCGAGAGAAUAAUUGCCCCGGGAGAUUGUCGGGAGGGGCACUGAUACUCGGGUGUUUACCGGAAAGAUCGCGAGAGUUGGCAAGUAUGUUGCUAGGGCGGGAAAUCCAUUCAAAGAAGGUGAAUUCAUUAAAAAGUGCACGUUUGAUUUUUUAAGAAAUCUUUUCACCCAGUUUCUGCAUCCAGUGGCCCCCAGGUAAAUUGAGUUUGAGACCCCUGAUUUAAAGUUAAAAAAAAUAAAAAUAAAAAUAAUAAUAUAUUACAUAUUUUUAACACUUUAUGAGUGGUGUCCUUUUGGAUCCCUGAGAAUUUUAGUGACAUUUAGAAAAAACAAACAACAACAACAAAGAAUCACUGUAAAUGUUGUUUUGAACAAUUGAUCAAUUUAAGGCUCCAUCCAUCCAUCCAUUUUCCUACAACUUGUCCCUUUCGGGGUCGUGAGGGGUGCUGGAGCCGAUCUCAGCUGCAUACAGGUGGAAGGCGGUGUACACCCUGGACAAGUCGCCACCUCAUCGCAGGUCCAACACAGAUAGACAAUCACACACUAGGGCCAAUUUUCUCCAAUUACUUCAUAUUAAAUAUUCCACUUUGAAUUGUUUUUUUGUUUUUUUGGGGGGAGGUGGAGGGAUGUUGCAUAAUUCUAGUUUUUGGCAUGAAAAAAGAAAGAAAAAAGAUAUUUGUUUUAAAAAAUAUUUAAAAAAACAAAAACGUAAUAUCAACAGAUCGGAAGUUGAUCAGGAGAUUCAAGCUUGGAAAGUACGAAUGUAUAAAUAAAUACUUAUUUUUAGCACCUUUUGAGUGGUGCCUUUGUGGAUCCGUGAAAUGCUUAGUGGCGUUUAAAAAUAAUAAAGUAAUUGCUCCAAAAAAAAGAGUAAAAAAAAAGAAUCAAAACAAAUGUUGCUUUGAAUUAUCAACCUAUUUUAGGCUCCAAUUACUACACAUCAAAUUUUCCACUUUGACAUUUUUUUGGUGGGAAAAGGUUGCAUAUUACGUGUUUCUGCCAUGAAAAACAGGGUUUUCUUUCAAAUAAAUACAACAUUAAAAAAAAAAAAAAAAAAUUAUAUCGACAGGUCUGAAGUUGAUCCAUAGAUUUAGGCAUCACAAUUAAUAUAUGACUUAAUUCUUCUAAUAUUUAUGACCGCGACCCUUCCCGGUCCCCGGGACUAAACUUGACGGGAGCCCUAAAGGAAAAAAAUAAAUAAUAAUAAUAUAUUUUAUUGGUUUCGAAUGUUAAAAAUACCAAAAUUUGAGUUUUCAGUGGCAAAAGUUGACACGCCCCUAGGGUAAACGGUUAUAAAAGACGCUUCCUGAAAACCCUCCGUGUGCUUGAGUCACAUGUUUGUUCUCUGUUAGUCUUCACGCCGAUGAAGCCCUGGCAUGAUUGCGUGCUUUUAUAAGACAAGCAGCCGUGACCUCGCUACAUGCCGCCGCCCGACCGGUUACCACGGCAACGCCGUGCCAGUGUGCGUCGCCGCACUGCCUCCGCCUGAGGCCAACUGGCUUGGCGAGGAAUGUGCAUGUGUGUGUUUGUGCAUGUUUGCCCUCGCGUCGGCGGCCAUCUUUGACCCAAACACACUCCACAAUGUUUUUAUUUUUCACCCCCUGGAGUGUGUGUGACGUCACCACACCUAUUGUUAUUGUUUUAUAUUUAAAUGCGACGUGAGCCCGGCUAAUUGCAGCCGCAAUUAUCGCGCCGCAUCUAAAUAUAGCUUCUUUUGUUGUCGUUAUUCGACAUUCGCUCGUGUGGUUUUUUUUUGAUUGGUCGUGAUCGGCGAAAAGCAGCUUAUGGAACGCUGACGGAAAGUAGGUCAUCUAUACAAGGAGCACUUGAAGGCACCGCGAGCUUUAACACGGAGCGGUCAAGCGAACACGUUUCUCUACGUCAACCAGCAUGGUUUUGGAUGGGAAAAUUGUGAUAUUAAGUCGGCUCUUACCGGAGAUAUCGGUGGAUUAUACCUCCUCCUACUGCAGCUCAAAAAGGCAGCUGUCAUCUUGGCUGCUCGGCUUCUCUCAGAGACACUGGCGUUCACCGCAGCCAUCCGACUUUCAGGUAUGACUUUACAAUCUCACUAAAACACUUUUAAAACAAUAAGCAGAUAAGGGAUCUUCAAUGAAUUGAUUAACGUGGACCCCGACUUAAACAAGUUGAAAAACUUAUUCGGGUGUUACCAUUUAGUGGUCAAUUGUACGGAAUAUGUACUGUACUGUGCAAACUACUAAUAAAAGUAUCAAUCAAUCAACCAGAA